GGUGCAGUUUAGCAUCUCUUCUAAUGCUUGUGGUGACCACAUAGGAAAAUAGAUUGGUUGGAUCCUGGUCUUUGUGAAGGAACAGAGUGUGGGGGAGCUGGAAGGGAAGGUGAAAACAUUACUGGACUGAAUGCAUAAAUCUGCUACAAAUUUUGAAUGCGCACAAUAUAACAGAAAUUUUCUUUUUUUUUUUUUUUUCCUUCUGUUGUCUGGUUAUACCAGAAUAGACUGGGGAAAAAAAAAAAAAGUCCACUGGAGCCACCUUGCAUUUCCCUGUCAGUUGCCUUAAAAAAAAAAAAAAAAAAAAAAAAAUUGCUCCAUAGAAAGCUGUUUUGCAAACAAAAGGGGAUCAGGUUAGAAGGUCAUAAAAGAACUGAGGAAAGUGACUCAGAAAAUGCCCCUUGCUGAAGAGCAGUAUUGUUACUUGCCUCUCCCACAAUAAAAUUCUGGUGUCUGAGGAAAGCUGGAAGAGCUACAAGUAGUGUUUUAAUCUCUCUUCAAGCAGUGGGUGCCAGCAAGGAUAGAAGGCAGCCAGCAGUAUGUUUUUUGUUUUUAGAUUUUCUUUUCUGACACCAGCUGGCACUGAAGCACUUGAUGUGUUUAACAGGCAGGAAGGAUAGCUAUGAAAUGGUUUAAAAUAAGUUUGAGGAGUACUGAAAUCUGUGUAAAAACUAAACAUAUGAAAGAUGUUUCUAUAUUUGAUAGGAACUGUAGAUGAAAAGCCAAGCAUUUGUGACUGUUUAGAGGUUGAACAUCCUCAACUUUGAGAGACUGAAUCCCUGGUGAUAGGCCAGAUUUAACUGCAAUCUGGAAAAAAAAAUCUCUAGAAAAUGUGCUGUUGAGAUACCCAGGAUUAACCCUUGGCAAAGCAAGUGCAGUUAUAUUCCUCCUUGGUUUGGGGACAUGGUUAUGAAUUACAGGUGUGCUUUGCUUGGGUUUUGUUAAUCCUUUUUCACUGCCCUUUUACAAAUAUGAAGUUUAUUCAUUACAUUUGUGGGUAAGACUUACCUAUGCUUUGUUUUGAUGUCUUCAGAUGCUGUGGAGAGUCUGUGCAAAUUUACACACAGAGAAGGGCCGUUUUGUUUAAUAGCUCUUUGGGACUUGAAUGCUUUGUUGUUACUCUGCACUGUCUAGCCUUUCCAUUUUGGAAAGUGAGUGUGAGAGGGUAGUUCUAUAAAUAUAAAUAAUGUCUCAAGUGGAUAGUCCAUCUUGUAUGUAUUCUAGUCUGGCUUUAGAUUUCAUUUGGUGUUGAGGUUAUUUGUGUGUCUAACACAGUUACUGCAAAUUUUGACCCUUGUACGUAUGCUAGAUCUCUCAGCUCCUGAUAGGAGGGAAAAUUUGAUUUUUCCUCAGAGUGAUUUUCAUAUGUACGUUUAACUGCAAGUGUGCAGGGAACUUAUAAGACUGAGCUUGGAGAUAUUUUGUUUGGCAGUUGCAUAUAGCGUGCAUAUGUAUAAACUGAGGUUUACAUUUGUGCCAGAAUAAGACAUGCCUAGAGUUAAUAUCAGAGGUAAUACCAGAUUUCCAGCCAAACCAACAAAUUCACAUAAUAUUUUUCCGAAAAUCCCAUCAUCAAGUGUAGAGCUGUCUCUCUACUUUUUGGACAAAAACCUGUGGAUUUUUUAUAAAUACAAACACAUUAUUUUUUUACACAGUCUGUCACCAUAAUAAAGAAUCACAUGUAAAACUUGUCAGAUGGACAUGAAAACGUGUAGAGAUUUCAUGGUGGGCUUGCCUGAGAAAGCACUCCAACAGAUUUUGAGCAACAUUGGCAGCUUAACUGAAAACAUUAAUAUUUAAACGAUUUUUUUGUUUUGCAGUAGCAGGACAUGCAACAUGUUAAUUUGUAUAGGCAGUGUGUAUGAAAGAACAUCAGCAGGUAUCCUUGACUAAUAUAGGUUUUGAAGGCUUCUGUUUUUCUCAUAUUAAGCAUGGAGUGUUUUUCUGAUCUUACUGCAGAAUGGAUUCUGAUGUGUGAGAAAAGGGAAGACCUGAUGUUUCUUUCUGUUUUAACUUUAACUUGUACUGUGUGUUUAUUUACAAUAUUUUAUUAAACUACAGUCAUCUUAGUCCC